ensembl:lincRNA
CAUUUUGAAUCCAUUCAGGACGUGGAGGCAGCCAGAAGAGUGCAACUAAAGACCCUCAGAAAGGAGGACUCCAGAGCUGCUACGGAAAGUGGCGAGGAGAUGGGAUGAGUGGUCCGGAAGUGGAGAUGAUCUUGAGGGUGAUUCAUGACAAGGUGGAAAUUUACAGAGCCCUGCUCUCUCAGGGCUGUUGGUAAUCCAGGGUGCCAGUGAUGAUGAAACUUAUUCAGCUGUUGAGGGGCACCAACUUUCCGGGCUGAUACAGGAAGAACAGAAGAGGGGGUUCAAGCAGGCCCAGCAUCCUUUGCUGAACAGAACUGGAGUCCCCAAUCACACCACCAAGGUUCUGACAAGGAAGGCUGAGGGGGAUUCAGGACACAGCUGGAAAAGUCAGACCGGAGGCCGAAGGUCUUGGACAGCAAAUCUUGGAUGCUCUGGGGGAAAUUAAAGAGUGGUCCUCAGAGUGACAGAGCUGCAACACAGAGAAGUGGACAGCAUCUUUAAAGAGGAUGCUAGGGACCGGUAUUCUUGGUGGAAAAGGAACCACAUCUGGAACCAAAGCAAUGUCAUAUUAAGAG